GGUGCGGCCACUCGCGUUUACCUGCUGCGUUGUCUUUCGCCUCGCCGUUCGCACACUUUCCCCACAUUGCACCAACACCGCGGCAAGGCAACUAAGCAGAAGACAGCACAGCGAGAUUUUCUCUGCGCAUAUAAAGGGCUGUGCCCCUCUUCCUCAGCGCGCGCGAGUAGCGCUCCUUGAAGCGCUCAAGCCUCAUAGAAGUAAAGUCUUUGCCUUCGCGCAAAGACGCCCUCCAUAGAUCGGCGGACGAAGAGUAUUCUCACACGCAGGCUCACCCAAUCGCAUACAUACAGCCUAGCCAUACAUCAGGGCCGCCGUUGCACUCAUCCAACGAGUCGCGGUCGGACGCAUAUAUUCUACUCAUAAACGACAUACUGCGCUGUUCGAGUGCCCGCACCUGGGACACCCAUCUCCCUCCCUGUGUUGCUUCCCACAAUGCUGACGUCGGCUGAGGAGGCCUACACAGAGUACCUGGAGCGUCGGGUGGUGGCAGGCGGCGUGGAUGCUGCCAUCGUGCGCGCAACACUGCAGCAGAUGGGCUUCGAUGAAAAGACAAUAGCAGCCAUGAUGGGGGACACCAGCACCUACUCUUUGCCCUUCUCCACGACCAGCAGUGCCUCCUCCACCACGUCUACGUCAAUCUCCUCAGUCAAGAAGCCGAGUCGCGCGUCUGGGUUCUCGGCUGCAACCUCCACCCCCUCGGCUCCAUCAGAGAUGGCGGAUACGGCUCAGCUCCACCGUGUCGUCACCACGUCCGCUGAGUCCGCUGCUGACACCCCCACCGCUGCUUCUGCGACUGCCACUCAGGUUACUCCAGCGCUGCCUUCCAUCAUUCCUGAGGGCAAGCGCAGUAACAACGACGCAAAUCAGCUGUGCAAGUCGUCUCCCUCUGCCACUGCUGCUCCGCCGCCCUCUUCCUCCACUGCCUCGUUGUCUACGCCAUCGCGCACCUUGGCCGCAGGCACCGUUGCAGGGGCAGCGGAGGGUUUUGAUGCCGACCACCACUCUGGUGCGGUGCUCUCUUCGCGGAGCCAUGCUGAAUCAUCUGUGUGCGGGACGGACGCUACGCACGACUGUGCGGUCACUCUUGCCUCUGGUGCAUCGUCGUCCACACCUUCUGAGCCUGCGGCAGCGUCAGCUGACGAGAACGCUCAGCUCACUGCCGCCGAGCGCACCAGUCUAGCACGGUGGAUGCGCGAGUAUCAGGCACUCAUGCUAUCCUCAGCACUGCCGCACCGAGGGUCACACUCACGCGCCGACGCGACAUCUUCCUCGACGGCGCCUCUAUUGCCAAGGGAGACGCCGUUCGACGAGUUUCACGCUCUCCCAUCCGCAGCUGCGUGCUGCGUGCGCACCGAGGGCGGCGAGCGUGGUGGCGCCGGUGCCGCCUUGCGCGACGAGAGUGCUGCGCAGCCACUGCCACCGUGGAGCGAAGCCGCCGCUCGCGUGCCGAGAAAGGUGGAAGACAGCGGCUCUUGUGUCGCCGGCAGCGAUGGAGCCACAUCCUCUAACGGCUCCGCUUUCGCCCGCACAGAAGGUGAACAUCCUCCCUACUUCAGCGAGAUGCUGUGCCAAGACGGCACGAUCGUUGGAGAGCAGGCUCAGAGUGGAGGCGCGAACCCGUUUUCUGAGCGUUACUAUCGCUCAGCGGCUCAACCGCUCUAUCGGGCUGCUCGCAGUGCCGUACCGUCACCCAUUCGGCGCGCUGUCCCCAAAGCGAAAUCGUCCGUAUUUGUUCCAACGUGCAGCAUAGGUGUUCCUCGUUUCGCCACCGGAUGUGCCCGCUGCAACUUCGACGCGGCGCAAUGCCGGCACCCGUAUCGAGAGGCACAGGAUGUGCGCAUCGUGCGUGCGUCUCACGUUGCCGUGACGAAUAAUGGCGAGUACAAUCACCGUAUGAUUGCUCAGUCGUGCUGUCAAGCUCGCCAGGUCGACGCGGCUCGGCAAGCCCAGCAGACGGCGCGGGCGCAGCCCACGAGUGGCCGCCUUGUUCCCGUAAUGCACGCCCCUAUCGGAAUGACGGUACAGCCGAGAGCUGGUCUGGCAAGUGGACGGCAGAUGAGCACGCUGCCGGUCAAGGCGAAGACGGACCGGGUAAGGUUGGCGCAGUACUACCGGCAUCAGUGGGCGGAGCAGGAACGACGCUCUAGUGCUGCAGGGAGAAGCGCCGCAUGGGAUGCCCGAUACACGCUGCUAAGUUGCGCGGGCUGGACUGGGUAGGCACACUUCCUUCUCCACGUGAACUGCCCACUCGUUGCUUGAGUUUGGUGGUGGUGGUGGGGCCAUCACGAGCGGAAAUCUGAAGCGAGAUGGAGGUGCAUAACGCGCCGCCCUUUUCCCGGAGUCAUUCAUCGGCACACACACGCAUAGACAAUCAGCAGAAAGGGGCUAGCUCUCUUUUUCAUAUCUUCCCUCUCCUCCUCGUACACAUGCGCACACACACACAUACACACCAUACCGAGAGGGAGGAGGUAAGGAAGAUGAGGGGUGAGGGUGCGGAGCAGGGGGGGGGCUCUUUGAGGCUACUCUGCCGCUGUCCGCUGGAUUGUCUGCGUGCACAGGUGGUGAUGCAGCAACACAGGCACCACAGAGGCUUUCACAGGCGCGCGCUGCUCCUCAUUUGUGUUCCGCAUGAGCUCUUGCUUAGCCUUUGCCCCACUCAUUCCUGCUUGUAUGUGUUUCUUCUUUCGCCCCCCACCCCGCUGUGAUCACCGAAAAGUAUGUGUGCGUGUGUGAACGUGCGCGGUGUGCGGAGUUUUGUACGCGGAGCGGCUUGGGUGACCUUCCUCGCGGGCCCUGCUCUUCUUACCGUCCUCGCCUUUCAUACCCUACAAGAGC
rnacentral:misc_RNA from 1 species